rnacentral:rRNA from 1 species
UGGGGAAUAUUGGACAAUGGGCGAAAGCCUGAUCCAGCCAUGCCGCGUGUGUGAAGAAGGUCUUCGGAUUGUAAAGCACUUUAAGUUGGGAGGAAGGGCAGUAAGCUAAUACCUUGCUGUUUUGACGUUACCGACAGAAUAAGCACCGGCUAACUCUGUGCCA